rnacentral:rRNA from 1 species
UCGGNNCUGCCCGGUGAAAUAUUUUAACGGCCGCGGUACUCUGACCGUGAAAGNUNGCAUAAUCAUUUGCCUUAUAAUUGAAGGCUAGUAUGAAUGGNUUGACAAGAACGUAGCUGUCUCUUUUCAAUUUAGUAGAAUUUUAUCUUAAGGUGAAAAAGCCUUGAUUCAAUUAAAAGACAAGAAGACCCUAUCGAGCUUUAAAGAAGUUGAUGGAUUUAGAUUUUUAGUUUUAAAAAGCGUUACCAUCAUAAUAUUUUGGUUGGGGCGACUGAGGAACAUGUGAAGCUUCCUUUAAAAGUGUUUAACGUGCGGGUGAUGAUCCACAGUUGGUGAUUAAAGGAAUUAGUUACCGUAGGGAUAACAGCAUUAUCCUUUUUGAGAGUUCUAAUCGAAAAAAGGGUUUGUGACCUCGAUGUUGGACCAGAAUAUCCUAAAGAUGCAGAAGUCUUUAAGGGUUGGUCUGUUCGACCAUUAAAAUUCUA